GCCAUGGCCGUGAGGAGGGACCCCGUGUGGAAGUACUGCUGGGGAGUUUUGAUGGUUUUAUGCAGAACUGCCAUGUCCAGAUCGAUAGUUUUAGAGCCUAUCUAUUGGAAUUCCUCCAACUCCAAAUUUCUACCUGGACAAGGACUGGUACUAUACCCACAGAUAGGAGACAAAUUGGACAUUAUUUGCCCCAAAGUGGACUCUAAAACUGUUGGCCAGUAUGAAUAUUAUAAAGUUUACAUGGUUGAUAAAGACCAGGCAGACAGAUGCACUAUUAAGAAGGAAAACACCCCUCUCCUCAACUGUGCCAGACCAGACCAAGAUGUAAAAUUCACGAUCAAGUUUCAAGAAUUCAGUCCUAAUCUCUGGGGUCUAGAAUUUCAGAAGAACAAAGAUUAUUACAUUAUAUCUACAUCAAAUGGGUCUUUGGAGGGCCUGGAUAACCAGGAGGGAGGGGUGUGCCAGACAAGAGCCAUGAAGAUCCUCAUGAAAGUUGGACAAGAUGCGAGUUCCGCUGGAUCAACCAGGAAAAAUGAUGCAACAAGACGUCCAGAACUAGAAGCUGGUACAAAUGGAAGAAGUUCAACGACAAGUCCCUUUGUAAAACCAAAUCCAGGUUCUAGCACCGACGGCAGCAGCGCCGGGCAUUCGGGGAACAACAUCCUCGGUUCCGAAGUGGCCUUAUUCGCAGGGAUUGCUUCAGGAUGCAUCAUCUUCAUUGUCAUCAUCAUCACGCUGGUGGUGCUCCUGCUCAAGUACCGCAGGAGACACCGCAAGCACUCGCCUCAGCACACGACCACGCUGUCGCUGAGCACGCUGGCCACGCCCAAGCGAGGCGGCAACAACAACGGCUCCGAGCCCAGUGACAUUAUCAUCCCCUUAAGGACCGCGGACAGCGUCUUCUGCCCCCACUACGAGAAGGUCAGCGGGGAUUACGGGCACCCGGUGUACAUAGUGCAGGAGAUGCCCCCGCAGAGUCCCGCGAACAUUUACUACAAGGUCUGAGGAGAGCCUGGCGGUACCUUCACGUUCCCAGAGGAGACGGACUGUCCCCAUGCCUCCUGGGGAGGGGCCAGGAGCCAGUGUGCUGCCGAUUGACUGAAGCACAGCCCCCGAGGAGAGGGGACACUCCUUCCCGCAGAGCCCUGCUGAGCUGGACAGCUGACCCGGCCUGGGUGGGCACAGACGGUCACUGAAGCUGGGGGCUGUGUGUAGGGGAUACCAUUGGGACUGCUGGUACAUUAGGCGUCUCAUCCCGAAGCCACGUGCUGCCCGAACUCAGGCCGCGUGAGUCCGGGAAGACAGUGGUUUGUGGCCGCAGGGGCAGUGAGCUCCCUGGGAAAGCGCCCUGGCCACCCCAGAAUGCCACGCUUGCAAGACCGGCUCUGCCUCGGGCGUGUCCCCCCGAGGUGCCUACUGGACUUGUCACACGGACCUCGGGCUCCGUAAGGUUUUCAAAUCUCUCUAGCGUUUAGUCCUCACUGUGGCACUCCUGUCUGCAGCACCUCACCUGAGAUUUCCUCCACUCCACAUUGUGCAUCACGAAUGAACACUGAGGCCUGGAGUCCCCUGCUCCAGCGUUUGCGACCACAGCUUCAGCUGAGCGGGUGACCCAUUUCUAGAAAUCAUUUUUGCUGAUAAGGUGCCCUCCAGCCAGAUGCUAGGCUGUCAGCCCAGGGAAACUAGGAGCUGGGGGGCGGGGAAAGGGCUGGCUGCAGAAGCAGGCCAAUGCAGCUGCCUCUGCAAUGGGAACUUGGGCAGGAAAAAGACGUAAAACAUUAGGUAGCACAGCACUUUGGUCUUGCUGAGAUUGAAGAGGCAAGUAGGAGACACGGUAACACACACAGUGGAUCACGGUGCAUUGGGAGGAAUUCACUGUUAUCUAAUAGCAAUGUGCAGGAAAAAAAAAAUUCCCUCUUCGUCCCGUGGAACAAAGGGGGUAUUGUUGGUAAAGGAACGGGCUGGGAGAGAAGGGAGAAAGUAGGCCGCUGAUGAUCCAUUCGGGCAGGACUGUUGUGGUACUGGCAAUAAGAUCUACAGCUCGAAGCUGUAGGAGAGUCGGUCUGCUUUGGAUGAUUUUUUAAGCAGACUCAGCUGCUAUACUUAUCACAUUUUAUUAAACACAGGGAAAGCAUUUAGGAGAAUAGCAGAGAGCCAAAUCUGACCUAGAAGUUUAAAAGCCAGAGGUCAAACAGGCUGUAAUUCCAUCAUCAUUGACGUGAUUAAAGACUUCUCAUAUAUAAAAGGUAGGUCAGAUUCCCCGUCUCCCCACAGAGGCCCCCUUCCCCGCCCCCCCUCCCCAGUCGGGCCUUAUGACACUUUGGUUGAUAGCGGUGCUGUCCGGGCCGCGAGGGCUGCAGGGCCGCUACUGCCGGAGCCACGGCACCCGGUGCCCUGUGUCCAGGUAAAGCACAUAUGGCGAACCUCUUAGAGUCCUUAAGACAGAAGUAAAUUAUGAUGUCGAGGGGGAGAAGGAAAAUAGCAUGUAUUUAUAAUAGGUAUAUAGAACACAAGGGAUAUAAAAUGAAAGAUUUUUACUAAUAUAUAUUUUAAGAUUGCACACAGUACACACCAGAAGAUGUGAAAUUCAUUUGUGGCAAUUAAGUGGUCCCAAUGCUCAGUGCUUUAAAAAAAUAAAAAUUGGACAGCUACUUCUGGGAAAAACAACAUUACUCCAAAAAUAACUAUAAUGAGAGCAAAUAGAAAAAUAAGGGAGCCCUCUGAAGGCAUCUCACGGAAUCGUAGACUAGGAGACACAAGCCCCAACACCAGGAGAUCAGUGCUGCUGCAUCAUGUACUUAGCAACGACAAGAUGUUCUGGCAUUUCUUUUCUGUGUCGGGGUCUCCCUUACCUUACAGCUGAAGUGUUCGCUAGCAGCCAGCAGGUCACACGGGGGCUGCAGUUGAAAGUUUCCUCUGGCUUCCUCCUCUCCUUCCCCCACCCCGUCCCUUCUGGGAAACAAGAAGAGUAAACAGGAAACCUACUUUUUAUGUGCUAUGCAAAAUAGACAUCUUUAACAUAGUCCUGUUACUAUGGUAACACUUUGCUUUCUGAAUUGGAAGAAAAAAAAAAUGUAGCAACAGCAUUUGAACGUUCUCAAACCUCCAGUGAGUACCUGCAAAAAUGAGUUGUCACAGAAAUUAUUAUUCCCUAUUUCCUGAACCUGAAAAUGAUGUUGGUCCAAAGUGCGUGUGUGUAUGUAUGAAUGGGUGUGUGGUAUCCAUGUGUACAUAUAUGUAUAAUAUAUAUCUACAAUAUAUAUUAUAUAUAUCUAUAUCAUAUUUCUGUGGAGGGUUGCUGUGGUGACCAGCCACAGUACAUAUGUAAUUCUUUCCAUCACCCCAACCUCUCCUUUAUGUGCAUUCAUGCAAGAUUUUCUUGUAAGCCAUCAAAAGUUACUUUUAGAAUGGGGGAGAGGGGCGCGAGGGGGAAAAAUGGGAAAUAGUCUGAUUUUAAUGAAAUUCAAUGUCCGUGUCAUUGGUUGGCUACAUUUUGGUCAUAUGCUAAACUGUGAAAAAUCAGAUGAACUGAUGAAGAGUUACCUGCAACCAAUUGAAAAUUGUUCUGUGUGUCUGUCUUGUGUCUGGUGCAGAAGAUGACAAUCUACCAACUGUCCCUUCAUUUGAAGUUGGUUCAGCUUUGGAAAGUUACUGUAAAUGCCUUGCUUGUAUUAUCAUCCCUAGUCACCUGACUUUGGAAUUUGCACCAUCAUGUUUAAGUGAAGAUGCUGUAAAUAGGUUCAGAUUUUACUGUAUAUGGAUUUGGGGUGUUACAGUAGCCUUAUUCACCUUUUUAAUAAAAAAAUACACAUGAAAACAAGACAGAAAUGGCUUUUCUUACCUAGAUUGUGUACAUAGAGCAAUGUUGGUUUUUUACAAAGUCUAAGCAAGAUGUUUUGUAUAAAAUCUGAAUUUUGCAAUGUAUUUAGCUACAGCUUGUUUAACGGCAGUGUCAUUCCCCUUUGCACUGUAAUGAGGAAAAAAAUGGUAUAAAAGGUUGCCAAAUUGCUGCAUAUUUGUGCCGUAAUUAUGUACCAUGAUAUUUAUUUAAAAUUUCGUUGUCCAAUUUGUAAGUAACACAGUAUUAUGCUUGAGUUAUAAAUAUUUUUUUCUUUUUUUGUUUUAUUUUAAUAGCCUGUCAUAGGUUUUAAAUCUGCUUUAGUUCCACAUUGCAGUUAGCCCCCAGAAAAUGAAAUCCGUGAAGUCACAUUCCACGUCUGUUUCAAACUGAAUUUGUUCUUAAAAAAAUAAAAUAUUUUUUUCCUAUGGAAAAA